rnacentral:rRNA from 1 species
UACGUAGGGCGCAAGCGUUGUCCGGAAUUAUUGGGCGUAAAGGGCUCGUAGGCGGUUUGUCGCGUCGGGAGUGAAAACUCAGGGCUCAACCCUGAGCGUGCUUCCGAUACGGGCAGACUAGAGGUAUGCAGGGGAGAACGGAAUUCCUGGUGUAGCGGUGGAAUGCGCAGAUAUCAGGAGGAACACCGGUGGCGAAGGCGGUCUCUGGGCAUUACCUGACGCUGAGGAGCGAAAGCAUGGGGAGCGAACAGG